rnacentral:rRNA from 1 species
GAUGAACGCUAGCGGCAGGCUUAAUACAUGCAAGUCGAGGGGUAGCAAGAUUGUAGCAAUACAAUUGUUGACGACCGGCAAACGGGUGCGGAACACGUACACAACCUUCCUACAAGUGGGGAAUAGCCCAGAGAAAUUUGGAUUAAUACCCCGUAACAUAGCGAUGUGGCAUCACAUUGCUAUUAUAGCUUCGGCGCCUGUUGAUGGGUGUGCGGCUGUUAGAUAGUUGGCGGGGUAACGGCCCACCAAGUCUACGAUCAGUAGCUGAUGGGAGAACAUGAUCAGCCACACGGGCACUGAGACACGGGCCCGACUCCUACGGGAGGCAGCAGUAAGGAAUAUUGGACAAUGGACGCAAGUCUGAUCCAGCCAUGCCGCGUGAAGGAUUAAGGUCCUCUGGAUUGUAAACUUCUUUUAUAAGGGACGAAAAAAGGUCUUUCUAGAUCGUCUGACGGUACCUUAUGAAUAAGCACCGGCUAACUCCGUGCCAGCCGCCGCCGUAACAC